GCAGCUACCGAUUGGAUGGUCCGAUGAAGGGUUUGGAGGGGUCACAGCUGGUGGCAACAUUGGCUGUGGCUGCAAAGUUCCCUGAACCCUCCCACCUAGAGGAAGGAGAAGUCGUAACAAGGUUUCC
rnacentral:rRNA from 3 species